CUUCCUCUAUGACUACGAAGAUGGUUUACGUGGCCCCAAAGGAGAUCCAGGUCCUCCGGGUCCUCCCGGUCCCCCUGGUUUACCUGGUCCUUCAGGAAAAAGAGGUUCUCGGGGUCCCAAUGGUCCACACGGUAACCCAGGC